rnacentral:rRNA from 1 species
AGCGAACGCUGGCGGCAGGCCUAACACAUGCAAGUCGAGCGAAGUCUUCGGACUUAGUGGCGGACGGGUGAGUAACACGUGGGAAUGUGCCUUUAGGUUCGGAAUAACUCAGGGAAACUUGUGCUAAUACCGAAUGUGCCCUUCGGGGGAAAGAUUUAUCGCCUUUAGAGCGGCCCGCGUCUGAUUAGCUAGUUGGUGAGGUAAAGGCCCACCAAGGCUACGAUCAGUAGCUGGUCUGAGAGGAUGACCAGCCACAUUGGGACUGAGACACGGCCCAAACUCCUACGGGAGGCAGCAGUGGGGAAUCUUGCGCAAUGGGCGAAAGCCUGACGCAGCCAUGCCGCGUGGAUGAUGAAGGUCUUAGGAUUGUAAAAUCCUUUCACCGGUGAAGAUAAUGACUGUAGCCGGAGAAGAAGCCCCGGCUAACUUCGUGCCAGCCGCCGCAGUAAUAC